GACCGCUCUGGUGGCCCAGUAGUUAGAGCGUCCGUAUUGUAUGCGGGUGGUCGUGGAUUGGAACCCCACUCGAGUCA